rnacentral:rRNA from 1 species
GAUGAACGCUGGCGGCGUGCCUAAUACAUGCAAGUCGAGCGAACAGACGAGGAGCUUGCUCCUCUGACGUUAGCGGCGGACGGGUGAGUAACACGUGGAUACCCUACCUAUAAGACUGGGAUAACUUCGGGAAACCGGAGCUAAUACCGGAUAACAUGUUGAACCGCAUGGUUCAACAGAGAAAGACGGUCUUGCUGUCACUUAUAGAUGGAUCCGCGCCGCAUUAGCUAGUUGGUAAGGUAACGGCUUACCAAGGCAACGAUGCGUAGCCGACCUGAGAGGGUGAUCGGCCACCCUGGAACGGAGACACGGUCCAGACUCCUACGGGAGGCAGCAGUAGGGAAUCUUCCGCAAUGGGCGAAAGCCUGACGGAGCAGCGCCGCGUGAGUGAAGAAGGUCUUCGGAUCGUAAAACUCUGUUAUUAGGGAAGAACAAAUGUGUAAGUAACUAUGCACGUCUUGACGGUACCUAAUCAGAAAGCCACGGCUAACUACGUG